GCUUGGAUAGCUCAGUUGGUUAGAACGUGCCACUGAUGAUGCCAAGGUUGCAGGUUCGAUCCCCGUACGGGACA